AACGAACGCUGGCGGCAGGCUUAAUACAUGCAAGUCGAACGGUUGUAGCAAUACAGCAGUGGCAGACGGGUGAGUAACACGUGGGAACCUACCUAGGGGUACGGAAUAACUCAGGGAAACUUGUGCUAAUACCGUAUACGACCUUCGGGUGAAAGAUUUAUCGCCCCUAGAUGGGCCCGCGUUGGAUUAGCUAGUUGGUGAGGUAAAAGCUCACCAAGGCGACGAUCCAUAGCUGGUCUGAGAGGAUGAUCAGCCACACUGGGACUGAGACACGGCCCAGACUCCUACGGGAGGCAGCAGUAGGGAAUCUUGGACAAUGGGCGAAAGCCUGAUCCAGCCAUGCCGCGUGAGUGAUGAAGGCCUUAGGGUUGUAAAGCUCUUUCGCCAGGGAAGAUAAUGACUGUACCUGGAUAAGAAGCCCCGGCUAACUUCGUGCCAGCAGCCGCGGUAAUACGAAGGGGGCUAGCGUUGUCCGGAAUUACUGGGCGUAAAGCGCACGUAGGCGGUUUUCCAAGUUGGAGGUGAAAUCCCCGGGCUUAACCCGGGAACUGCCUCCAAAACUGGGAGACUCGAGUCCGAGAGAGGUGAGUGGAAUUUCCAGUGUAGAGGUGAAAUUCGUAGAUAUUGGAAAGAACAC
rnacentral:rRNA from 1 species